AUGGCUGCUCCCACGCCGACCUUCUUCCUCGCCCCUGAUGCCGCUACUGUCUCCUCUCCGGUGAGUGCGGAGGAGCCACCGCCGUCGAGGCAGCCGCCGGCUGGAGCCCCGCCUCUUCUCCUCUCCGGUCGUCGUGGAGGUCCGCCGCGUCCAACCUCCUCGACGCCGCCCGGAACCCUAGGCGGCCCAUCUGUUCCUCCCAUGGCCAUGGCCAUGGCGAGCCUGCAAGAUGUGCAGCAGCAGAUCUUCGAGUACAACGGCUCCGCACCCUGCAGCCACCGGUCCGGGACGAGCGCAGCGCCGGUUCGGGUGUCCUGCGCCAACCAGAGCGCGCCCCAGGUGCUCGACAGAACGCCCGCUGCACCGCCUGGUCUCAACUUUCUUUCCCUUUGCCAAGCUGAGGGAGAGGGCUAG
rnacentral:rRNA from 1 species